rnacentral:lncRNA from 1 species
UCCAUGCGUGAACAAAAAUAGGGACAGAUCGUUACAGGACUUAGAUGUAAAUUGACUGGUUGUUAUUCCACUUAAUUUAUUUAUAUAUUAAAAAAAUAAAAUAAAAAAUAAAAAAAAUGCAAAAUGUCCAUCAUCAGAACGAGUAAGAACAAGUUGUGGGCACUAGUGUAUAGACAGCUCUUUUCCCUGACCUGUUGGGACACAUUCUGCAAUUAAUCUCUCUUACGAUACUUCAGAGACGGGACGGUGGGGGACCCUUAAAGUUGGGGUUCAACCUUUUAAGAACAAGUAGCUAGUCUGAAAACGAGCUCAACACCUACACGGUAGGGUAGAGUACUGAAAGACAAUUUAGAUGAAGAGUUUAUUCCCAAAUGAAUCCCACAAGCACAGAGCAGCAUAUCCAAAAUUGCAAUCUCUUUACAUUUUCAAUUGUCUCUCUCCUUUUAAUCCAUUGUGCCUAGUACCUGUGAUGUGAGUUGACUAUAGAAAUAAUUUCAAAUCUUAUAUACUUGCGUAAUUUAUAUUCAGCCUGUCCUUCAACAUGCAUUAUUAUUUGUUCAGGGGGUAUCAAGAUGUGUGAUUUAAACUGGGAUUGGUUUCAUGAUGGCUCCAAUAUAUCACGCGGCAAUGAAAAUCGUUAGACCUAUCAAGAAAAAGCUGAAAGUAAAGACUACAAAAUAUCUUGGGCCCAAUGUUGAAUCCUGCAGGAGUUCCUAUUGCCGUAGUUAGGGUAUACGAAGAAAAUCUAGUGAACGCCUUGACUCUCAAUUGUGUAAUUGUGAAAUCUAACUUAUACUACUUGUAAAUGUUAUUAUAAACAUGAAUUUUACACCAUUUAAAAAAGAAGAAGAGGGAAAAAAUACCAGCAACAGAGGUCACCUCUCAUCCCAAAAUUGUCUCCCCAAAAACCCGAAAUCUCCUCUCCUAUAUCCAUCAUCUCUUCCCUGAAAUCCAUCUAUGGGUUUUUCCUACUUCAAUUGGUUGUCCCAAACUCCCUUCUCCUUUCCAAAACCCACCGCAUUCCAUUAGACAAACAACAAUCAAAACAAAAAUAACAAGAUUAAGAAAGAGAAAGAUAACAUAAAUUUUGCUUCUUUA